GACGAACGCUGGCGGCGUGCUUAACACAUGCAAGUCGAACGAAGUGGCGAACGGGUGAGUAACGCGUAAUCAACCUGCCCUUCAGAGGGGGACAACAGUUGGAAACGACUGCUAAUACCACAUACUGAAGGAGGGGAUUGCGUCUGAUUAGCUAGUUGGAGGGGUAACGGCCCACCAAGGCGAGGAUCAGUAGACGGUCUGAGAGGAAGAACGGUCACAUUGGGACUGAGACACGGCCCAGACUCCUACGGGAGGGAGCAGUGGGGAAUCUUCCGCAAUGGAGGAAAGUCUGACGGAGCAACGCCGCGUGGUGGAUGACGGCCUUCGGGUUGUAAAGCUCUGUUAAUCGGGACGCGGUACCGGAAUAGAAAGCCACGGCUAACUACGUGCCAGCAGCCGCGGUAAUAC
rnacentral:rRNA from 1 species